GUAUUACAUAGUUUAAAUAAAAAUGUUAAUUUGUGGAAUUAAAGAUUUAGGAAAUUAAUUUUUACA
rnacentral:tRNA from 1 species